rnacentral:tRNA from 1 species
CAGAAAAUAGUUUAAUAAAAUAUUAGUUUUGGAGACUAGAGAUAGAGGAAUACUUUUUUUCUGA